rnacentral:rRNA from 1 species
UAAGCAUAUCAAUAAGCGGAGGAAAAGAAACCAACAGGGAUUGCCCUAGUAACGGCGAGUGAAGCGGCAACAGCUCAAAUUUGAAAUCUGGCCCUCGGGUCCGAGUUGUAAUUUGUAGAGGAUGCUUUUGGUGCGGUGCCUUCCGAGUUCCCUGGAACGGGACGCCAUAGAGGGUGAGAGCCCCGUCUGGUUGGACGCCAAUCCUAUGUAAAGCUCCUUCGACGAGUCGAGUAGUUUGGGAAUGCUGCUCUAAAUGGGAGGUAUAUGUCUUCUAAAGCUAAAUAUUGGCCAGAGACCGAUAGCGCACAAGUAGAGUGAUCGAAAGAUGAAAAGCACUUUGAAAAGAGAGUUAAAAAGCACGUGAAAUUGUUGAAAGGGAAGCGCUUAUGACCAGACUUGGGCUUGGUUGAUCAUCCGGCGUUCUCGCCGGUGCACUCUUCCGGUCCAGGCCAGCAUCAGUUUGCUCCGGGGGAUAAAGGCUUUGGGAAUGUGGCUCCCUCGGGAGUGUUAUAGCCCAUUGUGUAAUACCCUGGAGCGGACUGAGGUACGCGUUCUGCAAGGAUGCUGGCGUAAUGGUCAUCAGUGACCCGUCUUGAAACACGGACCAAGGAGUCGUCUUCGUAUGCGAGUGUUCGGGUGUCAAACCCCUACGCGUAAUGAAAGUGAACGCAGGUGAGAGCUUCGGCGCAUCAUCGACCGAUCCUGAUGUUCUCGGAUGGAUUUGAGUAAGAGCAUACGGGGCCGGACCCGAAAGAAGGUGAACUAUGCCUGUGUAGGGUGAAGCCAGAGGAAACUCUGGUGGAGGCUCGCAGCGGUUCUGACGUGCAAAUCGAUCGUCAAACAUGGGCAUGGGGGCGAAAGACUAAUCGAACCUUCUAGUAGCUGGUUUCCGCCG